GUGGUCAUUUCUGAACCCAGUUGUAGGGUCAGGGGUCUGCUGCCUUUAUCACUUUCUUUGUCCUUUUUACCUCUCUCUUUCCUUCCCCACCCUUUUUAAUUAUCUCUAUCCCUUCAUCUUCACAGACUCAAUUCCAAACCAACUCCCACUCAUUCACCAUCUAUCUCAAACCGUGUCCCUCAUCUCUCUCUCUCUCUCUCUCUCUCUCUCUCUACCUUUGAACCAGCUUAUGGCUUUUGGGUCGGUGAGUUGUGUGUGAAACAUAAGGGGGGUAGAGAGAAGAGAGAAGAAAGAAGAGGAAGCUUUGUGUUUUGAGGGGAAUGUUGUCUGGCUCGAGGACACCAACUAGAUCUAUGAUCUGCGUGUAAUUGUGAAUGGGUGAUCGUCUCUCAGUUUUGAAGGAGAGAUUUUGAGUGAUCUUUGAUCAUGGGUUGGUGUCGUCGGACCAGGCUUCAUUCCCCCCAAUUUAUUGCUUCCAUUGCUGCUGAUCUUCACGGUCUUUGAUUUUAUGCCUGGAUCUGCAGAUUCAACAUAUCUGCUAGAUUUGAUACAAAGGCACUAGCUUUUGAAAUGCGUAUGCUUCACACUACUUCUAUUGCUUAAAGAAAGAGGAGAAUAAUCUUACAAGACCCAAUGAUACAUGACCAAGUUGUGUUUGAGAAGCAACCCACUUACAAUGGCAACGUUUAAAAACCCUGAAAGUAUAAUAAUCUGUGAUUUCUGUAUUGUUUUCCAUAGUCUGUUCUGAAUGAUGAGAUGGAUUGGACCUUUGAUAUUGCUCCAACAGUAUAGUCUUGUUCAUCAACAAAGUUGCAUUUCAGAACUGAAACCCAUGUCGUUUGCUCUCAUACAUGUAUAUAGUUUGUUCUUGUGGAAACCUUCAUUUUGCAGAAUGUGAGGUGGUACUUGGUCGUCAACAUCUUGAGAGGUUGAACAGAAGCAUGUGAGUUCUGGGUGACCAUGCAUGAAAAAUUUCCAGGGAAAAUGAAAAUAAAUGUUGGUAAACUAACAAGUGAGAUCAGUCAUUGGAGCUCAAAUAUGUGAGCUUUCUCUUGAACGAUUACAAAGUUUGCCUAGAAAAAAACUUAGAACUCCCUGAUCACUUUGAAGUCAAAGAUAAAAGAUGUCUGGGUGUCUGAAAACAGAACUGAGGAGAAAUGGGCAAGUGGGUUUUGGUUUGUUUUUGUGGAAUUCCUCAGGGCACAGGGGGCUGUACUGAAAGAAGUAGAAAGAAAGAAAGAAAGAAAGAAAGCUGGUGAUUUGGAUGGCAAGAAAGAAAUAAGAGAAGCGUCAUCUGGGGGACAACCGUGGUGGUUUGGUGUGGUGUGCCUCAAUGCUGUCAUCAAUUCCUGAAGCUGAGGCAUAUGGAACACUGAAAUGCUUUUAAUGGUCUGACUCUCUCUUUCUCUCUCCCUUGAUCGUACCCCUUACCUUAAUACAGUUGAGUCAACAUCAGCAGUUACGCCAUGGAUUUCUCUCUUUAACCGUGAGUCUGAGUAAAUGGCCUAUUUUUUUUAGUUGUUCAAAAACUAGUUAGGAAUCUAGUACAGAGAUGUCAGCUUGAGUCAUGCAGGCCAACACCAUCACCCCACCCUCCUAAUAACCCCCAUCAUGGCUCAAUCUAGCAAGGGUUUUUGUUUAUUUUAGUGCAUUCUCAUUUGACUCCUUGAUGGUAAAAGUAUGGUUUUCAUUACUGCUAUUGGUACUUGCGUCAUGGUUAAAUCAGUAUCUUCUUCUCUUGCUUAAUGGGAAACUGGAUUCCAUUGACCUCCAAUGUCCAAGGCUGAAGACACUUUUAUUUUUUUAUUUUUAUUUUUUAUGCUUACAACUUUACUUGAAUUAUUGAAGUGGACAUGACUAUGGAAAGUCAUAUAUAGGUAGCUUUUUAAGCUCCUUGGACUAAUGGACUCAAAGUGUCCCAAAAGUCAGACAUGGAAUGGGCUGCAACAAAGGUGUUUCGGCUGAUUAAAUCUCCUUUUUGAGUUUCACCAACCUGUUUCAACCUUAGAACAGGUUCACAUAUGAAGAUAUAUUUGUUAUUUUCUUCAGCUUAUUACACAUGUAGCUGCUUCUACUUUAGCCACAGCUUGCAAGUAAUAUAUAUAUUUUUUGUUGGGUAUUGCCAGUAAUGACCUGAAA